UGUUCCUAUAGUGUUAAGGUUAAAGCACGUUAGAUUUUCAUUCUGAAGGUAUAAAUUUAUUUAUUGGGAAUAA
rnacentral:tRNA from 1 species